AGCCAUUUGCACAAGAAGGACUUGCAAGGAGCUUAGGAGACUAAAUAUGAGGGAGAGAGAAAAAGAUUCUAGUGGAAAGGCAAAGAUUUUGGAGAGGUGAUGUGCCAAUUUAGAGAAGAUGGGUAGAGUCUAGGGCAAGCUCGAACCACCCCAAAUGAAGAAGGAAGAGGAAAGGAACUUGGUUCCUAAACGGAUGAUUUGAAGGAUGAAAAUCAGUAGGAGGAGAGAAUUAACGGAAAUCUUUGGUUUGAGGGAGAAGAAAGGAAAGCUUUUGGAUCGGUGGGAGGA
rnacentral:lncRNA from 1 species